rnacentral:rRNA from 1 species
CAGCAGCCGCGGGAACACGAAGGGUGCAAGCGUUAAUCGGAAUUACUGGGCGUAAAGCGUGCGUAGGCGGUUUGUUAAGUCUGCUGUGAAAUCCCCGGGCUCAACCUGGGAAUGGCAGUGGAUACUGGCAAGCUAGAGUGUGUCAGAGGAUGGUGGAAUUCCCGGUGUAGCGGUGAAAUGCGUAGAGAUCUGGAGGAAUACCGGUGGCGAAGGCGGCCCCCUGGACAAAGACUGACGCUCAGGUGCGAAAGCGUGGGGAGCAAACAGGAUUAGAUACCCGCGUAGUCCCUGUCUCUUAUAC